AUGGCUCAGAUUGAACGCUGGCGGCGUGCUUAACACAUGCAAGUCGAACGCGAAAGGGACUUCGGUCCUGAGUAAAGUGGCGCACGGGUGAGUAACGCGUGGAUAAUCUGCCCUUAUGAUCGGGAUAACAGUUGGAAACGGCUGCUAAUACCGGAUACGCUCAAAAUGAACUUUUUUGGAGGAAAGAUGGCCUCUGCUUGCAUGCUAUCACGUAAGGAUGAGUCCGCGCCCCAUUAGCUUGUUGGCGGGGUAACGGCCCACCAAGGCAACGAUGGGUAGCCGAUUUGAGAGGAUGAUCGGCCACACUGGAACUGAAACACGGUCCAGACUCCUACGGGAGGCAGCAGUGGGGAAUAUUGCGCAAUGGGCGAAAGCCUGACGCAGCGACGCCGCGUGAGGGGAAUGAAGGUUUUCGGAUCGUAAACCUCUGUCAGAAGGGAAGAAACUACGUUGUGCUAAUCAGCAGCGUACUGACGGUACCUUCAAAGGAAGCACCGGCUAACUCCGUGCCAGCCGCCGC
rnacentral:rRNA from 1 species